rnacentral:rRNA from 1 species
GAGACUCUGUGCGCGUGCAUAUCAAUAGCGGAGGAAAAGAAACUAACAAGGAUUCCCUAGUAACGGCGAGUGAAGCGGGAAGAGCUCAAAUUUGAAAUCUUAAAGGUUUUCCCUUGACGAAUUGUAGUUUAAAGAAGCGUUUUCUGUUGGAGUUUCGGUAAAAGUUCUUUGGAAUAGGACAUCAUAGAGGGUGAGAAUCCCGUAUUUGACCAUUAUCUUCCAGCUGUGUGAUACACUUUCAAAGAGUCGGAUUGUUUGGGAAUGCAGUCCAAAAUGGGUGGUAAAUUUCAUCUAAAGCUAAAUAUUGGCGAGAGACCGAUAGCGAACAAGUACCGUGAGGGAAAGAUGAAAAGAACUUUGAAAAGAGAGUUAAACAGUACGUGAAAUUGUCAAAAGGGAAGCGUUUGACACCAGUGUUGUUUUCUCGAAAAUCAAUUAAAAAAUGCCGGAUUUUGUGUUGUAUUGACCUUAUAAGCUUUCUGCACUCUUUUCUUAUCUUUUUUAAUGCACUUUUCGUUUAACAAGUCAACAUCAAUUUCUUUUGUUGUAAAAGAGUCAUUGGAAGGUGGCUUUUCUUUCGGAGAAAGUGUUUAUAGCCUUUGAUCUCUGCAAUCCGGAGAGACUGAGGUCUGCAGCGUAGACUCUUCGGGGUUAGAUACAUUUGUGCUAAGCUAUAGCUUUUUAUAGACAACUUGUUGACUAUAAUUAAUCUUGUAACUUACUCGCUUAUGCUAUUUUACCUACGCUUAGGAUGUUGAACUCUAUCACACACAG